rnacentral:rRNA from 1 species
UGAGGAAUAUUGGUCAAUGGGCGGAAGCCUGAACCAGCCAAGUAGCGUGCAGGAUGACGGCCCUACGGGUUGUAAACUGCUUUUAUACGGGAAUAACGCGCCUUACGUGUAGGGCUUUGCAUGUACCGUAUGAAUAAGGACCGGCUAAUUCCGUGCCAGCAGCCGCGGUAAUACGGAAGGUCCGGGCGUUAUCCGGAUUUAUUGGGUUUAAAGGGAGCGUAGGCCGCAUGUCAAGCGUGCUGUGAAAUGUCCGGGCUCAACCCGGGCCUUGCAGCGCGAACUGGCGUGCUUGAGUCCGCGGAAAGCAGGCGGAAUUCGUCGUGUAGCGGUGAAAUGCUUAGAUAUGACGAAGAACCCCGAUUGCGAAGGCAGCUUGCUGCAGCGGAACUGACGCUGAUGCUCGAAAGCGCGGGUAUCGAACAGG